GACGAACGCUGGCGGCGUGCUUAACACAUGCAAGUCGAACGGAAAGGCCCUGCUUUUGUGGGGUGCUCGAGUGGCGAACGGGUGAGUAACACGUGAGUAACCUGCCCUUGACUUUGGGAUAACUUCAGGAAACUGGGGCUAAUACCGGAUAGGAGCUCCUGCUGCAUGGUGGGGGUUGGAAAGUUUCGGCGGUUGGGGAUGGACUCGCGGCUUAUCAGCUUGUUGGUGGGGUAGUGGCUUACCAAGGCUUUUACGGGUAGCCGGCCUGAGAGGGUGACCGGCCACAGUGGGACUGAGAUACGGCCCAGACUCCUACGGGAGGCAGCAGUGGGGAAUAUUGCACAAUGGGCGGUAGCCUGAUGCAGCAACGCCGCGUGCGGGAUGACGGCCUUCGGGUUGUAAACCGCUUUCGCCUGUGACGAAGCGUGAGUGACGGUAAUGGGUAAAGAAGCACCGGCUAACUACGU
rnacentral:rRNA from 1 species